CCAGGGGUGGCGGAGUGGACAAACGCACCUGGCUGUAAACCAGGCGCCCUCGUGGCUGCGCAGGUUCGAAUCCUGCCCCCUGGACAA
rnacentral:tRNA from 1 species